UUUUACUUAUGUCUUGUCUUGUCUUAGUGUGCUCAAUAGAUUUCAACCUAAGGCUGAGGUUAAGUAUUUUGACUUUGCUCAGACUUAAGACACAGUUAAAACGAGACAGAUUUUUGUAGGAGAUAUAAAUCUGUCUCUUUUUAGCUUGUAUGUCACGCUAGUCUUAUGCCUGAGCAAAUACAAAGUAGAUACCUACGCUCAAUAAUUAGAAUUCACCUUGAGAUAACAAAAGUAAAGGUCAUAGCACAGGGUCAUAGCGAGGCGAUCAUAAAGAUCCAUUCUAUUCGUGACUAAUUUCUGGCCGGCCAACUUAGAUCGCGCAUAUUUUAUGUGUUUGCACCUUCAAAUGUCCUGAGUUCAUGUUCCGAAGUUUCAUUUCAAUAUACAUCUCAGUCUUGUCUGCGGAUUCCAUACAGAGCUUUGAGUAUGAAGACUAGAUUCGUAUAAAAUUGUCAUUUAAGUGUCAUUUGUUUAGAUUACCUUAACAAUUAAAAAAAUCUCAUGACCUACUUUGGUAACCUACCAUUUAUUCAGAAAGAUUAACCUAUUACUAGAUUUAAGAGUCCACUCAAUUAGUCUAACAAGGUGAAAAUUUUAAAACCAUAAUUCUUUAUUACACAAUGCCUUCCUCUUUUAGUUGUUCCCCGUAGACUUCAGGUCUACCACCAAAGUCACGUUAAUAGCUACUUACAGUUUCGUAAAAUGAAAAAUCUUGCUAAGGCUGCAUUUUAGGCAAUAGCAGAAAAGUGGACUCUUAUAUAAUUGAGAUCGAGUAAUUUUGUCUAUAUUUAAGUAUUUUAUCAUUGUCAUUUAUUUUUUGUCAUAGUCAAUGUCGAUAAACUGCCACUUGGUCAA